rnacentral:rRNA from 1 species
UACGUAGGGGCCUAGCGUUGUCCGGAAUCAUUGGGCGUAAAGAGCUCGUAGGCGGUUCGGCAAGUCACGUGUGAAAUCUCCACGCUUAACGUGGAGGCGCCACGUGAAACUGCCGUGACUCGAGUCCGGUAGGGGAGUGUGGAAUUCCCGGUGUAGCGGUGAAAUGCGCAGAUAUCGGGAGGAACACCAGUAGCGAAGGCGGCACUCUGGGCCGGUACUGACGCUGAGGAGCGAAAGCGUGGGGAGCGAACAAG